CCAACCUCCUCUCCCCUCUCUAAGACAACCUUUACUUCACCGCCUAUGCCUGUUCCAAUUUACUGUCUCUGAACCCCACAUAUGCCCUUUUCUGCCCUACGUUAUGAUAACUGGAGCUGGACCUAAUUUCUUUCGUUAGCGGGCACAAUGUUAGACCUUGUCAGUAGAGGGCGCUAGAGGGACACUGCACAAGGAAGGGGCUUCUCUCCUGGUUCCAGCUCUGUUCUUAGAAAACACUGAGCUGCUUCCUUGCCAACCAGCAGCUCCCUUGGUAGGGGCAUGCAGAAGACCUGAUGACACAAACCCUCCAAAGAGUUCCACCCUCACCAUAACAGGUGGCUUCCUGCUCGGCAGCCCAUCCUGCAUCACUUCAGUGGACUUCUCUGACAUCUACUAGACCACAUUAAAUGAAUCACAGCCUUGAAACUGAACUGGAAGGACUUCCUUCAAGAUUUUUAUCUAAUUCCUGUUGGGCAGUGUAAAAUGCCACUUCUUCCACGGUUGUCUGCAUAUCAUCAAAAGGGAAAUAGCACUCAUCGAAGAUGUGCCUUUGCUAGGAACUAGGACAAGGGUGGUCUUUAUAAAUUCAUGAAGAGAAGGAGCCAGCAUAUGAACUUGCUGCCUAUCUUUAGCAAGGAGAUGCAAAUGACAUCCACAAACCUCUUCUGCUGUAUACCUGGAUGAAAGCAAGGCUAGCUGUGUGUCUUAUGGCACCAAGGACUGAAAGACUGUAAGAAGUAAGAGUCCAUCAUAGAGGCCAAGCCAAAUACAACUAUGUUUGCAAGCAUAAGAUGGAUAGAUGUGGUAAACCACAAGAAG